rnacentral:rRNA from 1 species
GAUGAACGCUAGCGGCAGGCUUAAUACAUGCAAGUCGUGGGGCAGCAUGAGUAGCAAUACUUGAUGGCGACCGGCAAACGGGUGAGGAACACGUACACAACCUUCCUUCAAGCGGGGAAUAGCCCAGAGAAAUUUGGAUUAAUACCCCCAUAAUAUAUUUGAUAAGGCAUCUUAUUAAAUAUUAAAGCUUCGGCACUUGAUGAUGGGUGUGCGGCUGAUUAGAUAGUUGGCGGGGUAACGGCCCACCAAGUCUACGAUCAGUAGCUGAUGUGAGAGCAUGAUCAGCCACACGGGCACUGAGACACGGGCCCGACUCCUACGGGAGGCAGCAGUAAGGAAUAUUGGACAAUGGACGAAAGUCUGAUCCAGCCAUGCCGCGUGAAGGAUUAAGGUCCUCUGGAUUGUAAACUC